rnacentral:lncRNA from 1 species
CGCUUCCCUUAUCGGCGGAAAUUAGGGUUUCGUCGGAGAUUUGACGCGAUUGCGAAACCAAACGCUGGAGGUGGACAGGGAUCGAUGUGAUACGGUGGAGAUGGCCCUUAAUGACGUCGCCGGAGAUUGUGGGUGAUGUAAGCCGGAUGGUUAGAGUUUUUCCAUCCAGGAGUUUGGCGAAGAGGUGGUAGAUCUCCAUCGUCGGGUCUGUUGGGAAGAUGAGAAAAUUUGACUGGAGAAGGGAGACG